rnacentral:rRNA from 1 species
UGGGGAAUAUUGCACAAUGGGCGGAAGCCUGAUGCAGCGACGCCGCGUGGGGGAUGACGGCCUUCGGGUUGUAAACCUCUUUCAGUGCAGAACAAGGCUCUUUGUGGGUUGAGGGUAUGCGCAGAAGAAGCGCCGGCUAACUACGUGCCAGCAGCCGCGGUAAUACGUAGGGCGCGAGCGUUGUCCGGAUUUAUUGGGCGUAAAGAGCUCGUAGGCGGUUUGUCGCGUCUGCUGUGAAGUCCUCUGGCUUAACUGGGGGCGUGCAGUGGGUACGGGCAGACUGGAGUGCGGUAGGGGAGACUGGAAUUCCUGGUGUAGCGGUGGAAUGCGCAGAUAUCAGGAGGAACACCGGUGGCGAAGGCGGGUCUCUGGGCCGUUACUGACGCUGAGGAGCGAAAGCAUGGGGAGC